rnacentral:rRNA from 1 species
AUUGAACGCUGGCGGCAGGCCUAACACAUGCAAGUCGAGCGGGGUUUUCGGACCUAGCGGCGGACGGGUGAGUAAUGCGUAGGAAGCUACCCGAUAGAGGGGGAUACCAGUUGGAAACGACUGUUAAUACCGCAUAAUGUCUACGGACCAAAGUGUGGGACCUUCGGGCCACAUGCUAUCGGAUGCGCCUACGUGGGAUUAGCUAGUUGGUGGGGUAAUGGCUCACCAAGGCGACGAUCCCUAGCUGGUUUGAGGGGAUGAUCAGCCACACUGGAACUGAGACACGGUCCAGACUCCUACGGGAGGCGGCAGUGGGGAAUAUUGGACAAUGGGCGCAAGCCUGAUCCAGCCAUGCCGCGUGUGUGAAGAAGGCCUUCGGGUUGUAAAGCACUUUCAGCGAGGAGGAAGGGGGUUGUGUUAAUAGCACAGCUUUUUGACGUUACUCGCAGAAGAAGCACCGGCUAACUCUGUGCCAGCCGCCGCCGUAACAC